rnacentral:tRNA from 2 species
GAACGUGUAGCUUAGUAGGAUAGAGCAGUCCCCUCCUAAGGGACAGGUCGGCGGUUCGACCCCGCCCACGUUCGCCA